rnacentral:rRNA from 1 species
CACGUAGGGCGCAAGCGUUGUCCGGAAUUAUUGGGCGUAAAGAGCUCGUAGGCGGUCUGUUGCGUCCGCUGUGAAAACUCGGGGCUUAACCCCGAGCCUGCAGUGGAUACGGGCAGACUAGAGGUAGGUAGGGGAGAAUGGAAUUCCCGGUGUAGCGGUGAAAUGCGCAGAUAUCGGGAGGAACACCGGUGGCGAAGGCGGUUCUCUGGACCGAGACUGACGCUGAGGCGCGAAAGCGUGGGGAGCAAACAGG